UUUCUCUUCUUCUUUAUCUUGCAAAAAACAAGAAAUAAACAUGGCUUUCUCUAUCACUUUCUCUUCAUCAUCUUUACUUCUGAUCUUCAUAAUCAUCUUAUCUUUCUUCACUUAUCCAUCUCUUUCCAUUAGAAAACUACAAGGUAUAUAUAUUGCGAGAAAAACGAUUCUAAUUAAAUUUUGUUUUUGUAAGUGUAUUUAUUAUUAAAACACAAAUGAAUUUUUUUUUUUUUUUUUUUUUUUUUUACAGAAAUGGAAGUUGAUAGUGUGAAAGGAUCAUCUGUGGUAAGCAAAUUACAAUAUUUUUUUUUUUCUAGUUUAUAUGGUUUAAUUUUGUUUAAUUAGUGUUGAAUUUAAUUAAUUAAUUGUUUUUUUUUCUUUUUUGUUAUUUUAUUUCAGUCAUUAAGUGAAAAUCAAGUUGGUCAUGUACCAAGGGGGAAGUUAUUACAUGAAGUUCAUUCUGGGCCUAAUCCUAUCAGCAAUUCUUUCCCACAAAAAAAUCCAUGAUUUCUUCUUCUCCUUUUUUUUUUCGCCGUUUUCUUGUGUAAAUGAGUUUUGUUUAUUUUCAAAUAAAGUUUUGAGUAAUUUUGUUAAUUAUUAAUUAUUUACUAAUUUUAUAAUUUUUAUUAAUACUGAAGAUAAGC
rnacentral:lncRNA from 1 species